rnacentral:lncRNA from 1 species
GUGAAGCUGGCUUAACCCUACCCUGAACGUCAGAGUUGGCAGCAGCUGCUGCCAGGGUGGUGUGGAACAGCUGAUCCACAGACUGGGAGAGGAGAUGGGUCAUUAAGGGUCUCACCUCAUGCACAUUAAUGCUCCCCUUUCCCUUCAGAACAUGAACACUGGCUCUGGGUGUUUAAAACAGAAAUUUAACCAGACUUAUGUAAACAGGAAUGUCUAGCAGCAAAAUGAAAUAGUAGCAUAAAAAUGCAGUUGCACCAGAACUGUUAUCAAAUCGUAAGAAAACAACUGAAGUGGCAGAUGAGGGGAGAAGAGAGGAGAGAGAGAAAAACGGUGCAGUUUAUACCUCAGUGCAUAUUUCUGAUGGCUCAGUAUUUUUAA